rnacentral:rRNA from 1 species
CCUACGGGUGGCAGCAGUGAGGAAUAUUGGUCAAUGGACGAGAGUCUGAACUAGCCAAGUAGCGUGAAGGAUGACUGCCCUAUGGGUUGUAAACUUCUUUUAUAUGGGAAUAAAAUGUUCCACGUGUGGGAUUUUGUAUGUACCAUAUGAAUAAGGAUCGGCUAACUCCGUGCCAGCAGCCGCGGUAAUACGGAGGAUCCGAGCGUUAUCCGGAUUUAUUGGGUUUAAAGGGAGCGUAGGUGGAUUGUUAAGUCAGUUGUGAAAGUUUGCGGCUCAACCGUAAAAUUGCAGUUGAAACUGGCAGUCUUGAGUACAGUAGAGGUGGGCGGAAUUCGUGGUGUAGCGGUGAAAUGCUUAGAUAUCACGAAGAACUCCGAUUGCGAAGGCAGUUCACUGGACUGCAACUGACACUGAGGCUCGAAAGUGUGGGUAUCAAACAGGAUUAGAUACCCUAGUAGUC